rnacentral:lncRNA from 1 species
GCUAAUUCUAAGACAGCUGAGGCCCCAGGAAGUUAUUUCAUCUUCUACUUCCCUUGAAUCCCUUUCUGUACUCAGCACAGUACUGCAAACAUAGGAGGACCGUUUGAGGCAGAACUGAGUGGAGGAAGAAGAGAAUCACCACAUAUCGUAUUUAGAGGUCCUGCAGAAAGGGCAGAGCGAGUUUCAUGUUUGAGUGCAGCGGAUGCAUGGGCAAAGCAUUACACAGCCGCUCCAUGGAAGUGACAAUGAGCCUUGUCUUUCACACGUAACUCCAGGAACCAGGGGAAACAAAACCAAUUCCAC